CCCUCGCCCCAAGUAGUAGCAGCCACAUACGGGGCAAGGGUGGUCCCGCAUGGGACAAACCAAUUUAGCCCAAUAUACGGGAUGUCCCGGCUAAUAUGAGACAGUUGGCAACCCUCUUGUUUAAGGUAGGGAGGGGUAGAUGAGUGAGCUCUGAGGAUUUGAAGGAGUAGGACUGAUGUUCAUCAAACUCACUGAUAAUGAUGGGGAUUUAAGAAAGUGGUUUUUCACACAUUAAUCAUAUUAUCAUGAGACUGGUACAGGAUGUAAACUGGACCUUUUGCCCAACUUGCCCACACCGACCAACAACUUCCAUAUACUGUAUACUAGUCCCACCUGCCUGCGUUUGACCCAUAUCCCUGUCCUAUCCGUCUAAAUAUUUCUUGAACUUUGUGAUAGUCCCAGCCUCACCUACCUCCUCUGCCAGUGUAUUCCAUACAUCCACCACCCUUUGUAUGGAAAAGUUACUCCUCAGGUUCCUAUUAAACCUUUCCCCCCUCCAUCUUAAACCUAUGUCCUCUGUUACUAUUAAUAUUCUGUUAAACUUAUUCCUUGGUGUUUUACCCCAGGUUUAUUCAGAAUUUGAGGUUGAUUCGGAAUCUGAGGUUGAUUCAGAAUUUGAG